UCCGUAGGCGGUGCGGCAAGUCGGAAGUGAAAUCUCAGGGCUUAACCCUGAGGCUGCUUCCGAAACUGCCGUGCUCGAGUGCGAGAGAGGCGAGUGGAAUUGCAGGUGUAGCGGUGAAAUGCGUAGAUAUCUGCAGGAACAUCCGAGGCGAAAGCGGCUCGCUGGAUCGCAACUGACGCUGAGGGACGAAAGCUAGGGGAGCAAACAGGAUUAGAUACCCUGGUAGUCCUAGCCCUAAACGAUCAGGACUGGGCGUGGGCCUCGCACGGGGCUCGUGCCGCAGCUAACGCGUUAAGUCCUGCGCCUGGGGAGUACGGUCGCAAGGCUGAA
rnacentral:rRNA from 1 species